GGGAAACUGCCCGAUAGAGGGGGAUAACUACUGGAAACGGUAGCUAAUACCGCAUAACCUCGUAAGAGCAAAGUGGGGGACCUUCGGGCCUCACGCUAUCGGAUGUGCCCAGAUGGGAUUAGCUAGUAGGUGGGGUAAUGGCUCACCUAGGCGACGAUCCCUAGCUGGUCUGAGAGGAUGACCAGCCACACUGGAACUGAGACACGGUCCAGACUCCUACGGGAGGCAGCAGUGGGGAAUAUUGCACAAUGGGCGCAAGCCUGAUGCAGCCAUGCCGCGUGUAUGAAGAAGGCCUUCGGGUUGUAAAGUACUUUCAGCGGGGAGGAAGGCGAUGAGGUUAAUAACCUCGUCGAUUGACGUUACCCGCAGAAGAAGCACCGGCUAACUCCGUGCCAGCAGCCGCGGUAAUACGGAGGGUGCAAGCGUUAAUCGGAAUUACUGGGCGUAAAGCGCACGCAGGCGGUCUGUCAAGUCAGAUGUGAAAUCCCCGGGCUUAACCUGGGAACUGCAUUUGAAACUGGCAGGCUAGAGUCUUGUAGAGGGGGGUAGAAUUCCAGGU
rnacentral:rRNA from 1 species